ACACCGAUGGUGAAGUGGUUAUCAUGCUUGCCUUCCAUUGAGUUAGCAAGCGGCACGGGUUCGAUUCCCGUUCGGUGUA